rnacentral:rRNA from 1 species
AUCACGACUCUCGGCAACGGAUAUCUUGGCUCUUGCAUCGAUGAAGAACGUAGCGAAAUGCGAUACUUGGUGUGAAUUGCAGAAUCCCGUGAACCAUCGAGUCUUUGAACGCAAGUUGCGCCCGAGACCUUUAGGUUGAGGGCACACCUGCUUGGGCGUCAUG